rnacentral:rRNA from 1 species
UACGUAGGGUGCGAGCGUUGUCCGGAAUUAUUGGGCGUAAAGGGCUCGUAGGCGGUUUGUCGCGUCGGGAGUGAAAUCCACUGGCUUAACUGGUGGCUUGCUUUCGAUACGGGCAGGCUAGAGUUCGGUAGGGGAGACUGGAAUUCCUGGUGUAGCGGUGAAAUGCGCAGAUAUCAGGAGGAACACCGGUGGCGAAGGCGGCUCACUGGCCCGGUACUGACGCUGAGGUGCGAAAGCGUGGGGAGCAAACAGG